rnacentral:rRNA from 1 species
UUAACGCGAAGAACCUUACCAAGGCUUGACAUGCACGGGAAGCCACCAGAGAUGGUGGUCUCUUUGGACACUCGUGCACAGGUGGUGCAUGGUUGUCGUCAGCUCGUGUCGUGAGAUGUUGGGUUAAGUCCCGCAACGAGCGCAACCCUCGUCCCAUGUUGCCAGCGGGUUAUGCCGGGGACUCAUGGGAGACUGCCGGGGUCAACUCGGAGGAAGGUGGGGAUGACGUCAAAUCAUCAUGCCCCUUAUGUCUUGGGCUUCACGCAUGCUACAAUGGCCGGUACAAAGGGCUGCGAUACCGUAAGGUGGAGCGAAUCCCAAAAAGCCGGUCUCAGUUCGGAUUGGGGUCUGCAACUCGACCCCAUGAAGUCGGAGUCGCUAGUAAUCGCAGAUCAGCAACGCUGCGGUGAAUACGUUCCCGGGCCUUGUACACACCGAA